GUAAUUGGAAUGAUAGAAAUUUAAACACUUUUUAAAGUAUCAAUUGGAGGGCAAGUCUGGUGCCAGCAGCCGCGGUAAUUCCAGCUCCAAUAGCGUAUAUUAAAAUUGUUGCAGUUAAAAAGCUCGUAGUUGAAUUUCUGCUAAAAAUAACCGGUCUGCUUUUUUAUGAAAGUGGUAUCUUGGUGUGUUUUUAGCAAUAAUGUCCUUUGAAAUGGUUUUUACUUUAUUGUAAAAAGCAAUAUUCAGGAUUUUUACUUUGAGAAAAUUAGAGUGUUUCAAGCAGGCUUACGUUUUGAAUACUGCAGCAUGGAAUAAUAAAAUAGGAUUUUAGUUCUACUUUGUUGGUUUAAAGAACUAAAUUAAUGAUUGAUAGGGACAGUUGGGGGCAUUUGUAUUUAACUGUCAGAGGUGAAAUUCUUAGAUUUGUUAAAGACAAACUACUGCGAAAGCAUUUGCCAAAGAUGUUUUCAUUAAUCAAGAACGAAA
rnacentral:rRNA from 1 species